GCCUACGGGGGGCAGCAGUGAGGAAUAUUGGUCAAUGGUCGGGAGACUGAACCAGCCAAGCCGCGUGAGGGAGGAAGGUACAGAGUAUCGUAAACCUCUUUUGUCAGGGAACAAAGACUGGGACGCGUCCCCGGAUGAGUGUACCUGAAGAAAAAGCAUCGGCUAACUCCGUGCCAGCAGCCGCGGUAAUACGGAGGAUGCGAGCGUUAUCCGGAUUUAUUGGGUUUAAAGGGUGCGUAGGCGGAGUGUCAAGUCAGCGGUAAAAUUUCGGGGCUCAACCCCGUCGUGCCGUUGAAACUGACACC
rnacentral:rRNA from 1 species